rnacentral:rRNA from 1 species
CCCUAUGGGGUGCAGCAGGCGAGAAAACUUUGCAAUGUGCGCAAGCACGACAAGGUUAAUCCGAGUGUUUCCUGCUAAAGGAAUCUUUUGUUAGUCCUAAAAACACUAGCGAAUAAGGGGUGGGCAAGUUCUGGUGUCAGCCGCCGCGGUAAAACCAGCACCUCAAGUGGUCAGGAGGAUUAUUGGGCCUAAAGCAUCCGUAGCCUGCUUUGUAAGUUUCCGGUUAAAUCCAUUAGCUCAACUGAUGGGCCGCCGGAAAAACUGCAAAGCUAGGGAGUGGGAGAGGUAGACGGUACUCGGUAGGAAGGGGUAAAAUCCUUUGAUCUAUUGAUGACCACCUGUGGCGAAGGCGGUCUACCAGAACACGUUCGACGGUGAGGGAUGAAAGCUGGGGGAGCAAACCGGAUUAGAUACCCGGGUAGUCCCAGCUGUAAACGAUGCAGACUCGGUGAUGCCCUGGCUUGUGGCCAGUGCAGUGCCGCAGGGAAGCCGUUAAGUUUGCCGCCUGGGAAGUACGUACGCAAGUAUGAAACUUAAAGGAAUUGGCGGGGGAGCACCACAAGGGGUGAAGCCUGCGGUUCAAUUGGAGUCAACGCCAGAAAUCUUACCCGAAGAGACAGCAGAAUGAAGGUCAAGCUGGAGACUUUACCAGACAAGCUGAGAAGUAGUGCAUGGCC